rnacentral:lncRNA from 1 species
CAAGAAAUUUAUCACAUUGUGCUAUACAUGCUUGCCUGAUUGCAUGACUAUCUCUGAAAAGACCAUGAGCACUUUGUGAAAACCUUUAGAACCUGAGUUCCAGAUCCAAUUUGAAGCAUGUUAUCCAAACCUGGCACUAUGAGUCUCCUAGAAAACUGUUGAGUGGAAAUUCCCUAAAUCAUAGACACAAAAACUUCACACCAAUAACAGGAGUCCUGGUGCCUAGAGGACAGUGAAAUUAUACAACAGCAAGACUAAGGCAUCUGCAAAUCACGGUCUUGAUCCUCUAUCUAUCAGGACACACACAACUCAGGCUAACAGUUCAAAACUUCAAGUAUCUGGCUGCCAUUAUCUGGACCUUGAGGACCACUAUACUAAAG